AUCCAGGGAUUGCUACUGGUUUUGGAAAUUCACCAGGAGGGGCCACUUAACUACAAAGGUAAAUCCCUUCUGCUUGUUCCUUCAAAUCGAUGAGGAGAGUCAUUUCUGAAUGCUAAUGCUGCAAACUGAGAUAUUAAAGGCUGUGUUUAGUCAUGAAAAACGAAGGCAACUUUGAAGACUGACCCUUACAACCUUGAGACUAUUUUCUAAAAGAAGACACUUUACCUUAAAUCACAAUACAUACCACAGCUAAGGAUGUUUAAGGCAGAAGACCAAAUGUUAGGGGACUGAAGUGUGACCUAUUGUGAUCGACUGGGGUAAGCCAACAGAAUAUUCUGAUCUGUACUUUUGAAGAGUUCUGAGGAAUAACCUACUUCAACCUUGGUGAAUUCUGGAGGCAGAAUUCCUCAAUUCCAAUUCUUACUGGACCUGUUUGGUAUACUUGGAUCUGUCUUUUGGUCACCUGAAGAUUCCUAACUGAUGCUUCCCCCAUGGUUACAAAAAUCUGGAAAUUUUACCUAUUUGUUUUAUUCUCAUAGGAGUUAACAUCUAUUCUGGAAUAUGAACUAUAUAAAAUUAAAAGUGAACAAAAAGCACAAUACAAUUUACAACCACAAAGAAUUGUGGCAACUGUUAAAGGUGUUUAAAGCAAGAAUUUUAUUUAGGCCAGAAAAAGAUAGUCAAAUUUAAGUUAAAGUAACAAAAUAUUAAAAUGCAAGCCAAUGGAACUUUAAAUCACCCCUCAAACAUUUCAGUUUUUGUAAUUUUGAUGUUUUACUGCUAAACAACCUGACAUACUUUGUUUCUGUACUGUAGCAUUUAAAAAUUUCAAAGAUUAUAUUCAAUCUGGCACUAUAAAAUUUUCUAUUUUCUGUUAACUUUUAAAUGUGAUCUUACUUUUAUAUUUGACAUCUGAUUCCAGAAGUCAUUAUCAUGUCAUUUGAAGAAAUAUUUAUGUUUACCAUAGUAUUUUCAACAGAAUGCUGCCUUAAAAAAAUACAUAAGUUAGCCUAGCAAGAAGACAAAUUAUCUGGAUCUGGGUUUCUUAACCCCCCUCCUAUUAACAUUCUAGCCCUACCUAAUUCCUUCAUUUAUUCUUCUGUUUUCAAAAUAUCUCUUAAUUACUUCCAUCCCCAUUUCAGUUGUAAAUGCUUCUUUACAGCCAUUCUUUCAUUAAAAUAAAUCCUCCAACU